GGUUCUUUAGCUUAACUGGUAAAGCCCUCCGCUCAUAACGGAGUAAGUGCAGGUUCAAGUCCUGCAAGAACCA
rnacentral:tRNA from 1 species